rnacentral:lncRNA from 1 species
GCGCGUCCCAUCCGGGUCCGAGUAACCGCCGCCGCCGCCAAAACUCGCCAACGUGGCGGACCCGGAGGCUGUGCUGGCAGAUGCCAGUUACCUGAUGGCCAUGGAGAAGAGCAAGGCGACUCCGGCCGCCCGCGCCAGCAAGAGGACCGUCCUGCCCGAUCCCAGUAUCCGGAGUGUGAUGCAGAAAUAUCUUGCAGAGACCAAUGAAAUAAACUUUGACAAGAUUUUCAGUCAGAAAAUUGCUCCCGGCAACCACGAAUUGAGUUUCUGCCUCCAUGGAUUUGCUUGUGUUGGACACGCCACAUGAAGGGAAUCACACACUGUGUGGCCUUUUGCACUGGGCUUCUUCAGCAUAAGGCCUUCAAGGUUCGUUCUGGUGGUUGCAUGGAUCAGAACUUCAGCCUGCUUUCCCUUCAGCUCUCAUUCCAGUUUCUGAAAUGCAUCCAGGAUUCUUCUUUUGUGUUUUCUGUUCUCUCUCCCUUCUGUAGCUCCUUUCCUGUCUACAGUCCCCGCAAACAUACAUACAGCCCCCCAAACAUGUAUUUUCCAUAGCCUGGAUUAAAACCUUAACUGACCCUGGCACCGGGAGACUCUGACCUGAGCUCCCAAU